CCUACGGGGGGCAGCAGUGGGGAAUAUUGGGCAAUGGGCGCAAGCCUGACCCAGCAACGCCGCGUGAAGGAAGAAGGCUUUCGGGUUGUAAACUUCUUUUAUGAGGGACGAAAGAAAUGACGGUACCUCAUGAAUAAGCCACGGCUAACUACGUGCCAGCAGCCGCGGUAAUACGUAGGUGGCAAGCGUUAUCCGGAUUUACUGGGUGUAAAGUGCGUGUAGGCGGGGCUUCAAGUCAGAUUUGAGAAUUAUGUGCUCAACCCAUAACCUGCCUUUGACACUGUAGGUCUUUGGUGAUGGAGAGG
rnacentral:rRNA from 1 species